UUGCAGAUAUAACUUAAAAGCA
rnacentral:siRNA from 1 species